rnacentral:rRNA from 1 species
CAAAUCCCUAAAAGCCAUCCCAGUUCGGAUCGCAGGCUGCAACCCGCCUGCGUGAAGUUGGAAUCGCUAGUAAUCGCGGAUCAGAAUGCUGCGGUGAAUACGUUCCCGGGUCUUGUACACACCGCCCGUCACACCAUGGGAGUCGGAAAUGCCCGAAGCCGGUGACCCAACCAAAAGGAGGGAGCCGUCGAAGGCAGGUCUGAUAACUGGGGUGAAGUCGUAACAAGGUAAC